GCUGUAAUAGCUUAAUGGUUAAAGCGGGUCACUGUUAAUGAUUUGAUCUCUGUUCGAUUCAGAGUUACGGCU